UUGGGAUAGCUCUGUCGGUACAGCAUGAGACUCCCAAUCUCAGGGUAGUGGGUUUGAGCCCACACCGGGCAAAA
rnacentral:tRNA from 1 species